rnacentral:rRNA from 1 species
AUUGAACGCUGGCGGAAUGCUUUACACACGCAAGUCGAACGGCAGCACGGGUGCUUGCACCUGGUGGCGAGUGGCGAACGGGUGAGUAAUAUAUCGGAACGUGUCCAAUAAUGGGGGAUAACAUAUCGAAAGAUGUGCUAAUACCGCAUACGCCCUACGGGGGAAAGCUGGGGAUCGUAAGACCUAGCGUUGAUGGAGCGGCCGAUAUCGGAUUAGCUAGUUGGUGGGGUAAGGGCUCACCAAGGCGACGAUCCGUAGCUGGUCUGAGAGGACGACCAGCCACACUGGAACUGAGACACGGUCCAGACUCCUACGGGAGGCAGCAGUGGGGAAUUUUGGACAAUGGGGGCAACCCUGAUCCAGCCAUUCCGCGUGAGUGAAGAAGGCCUUCGGGUUGUAAAGCUCUUUCGCAAGGGAAGAAAACUUACAUUCUAAUAAAGUGUGAGGUUGACGGUACCUUGAUAAGAAGCACCGGCUAACUACGUGCCAGCCGCCGCGGUAAAAC